GAGACAUGGACUGGUAACAUUAUCGUCUUGCAUGUUUUGUUUACAUUAAUAAAUUGUAGCGAUUUUACAGAAAACAUAGAAAUUUAGGACUAACAUUGUGUAAUUUAUUUCUUUUCAGGUACCCCCGCCAGAAGGACGGAAGCAUAGAGUCGCUGAGGAGCCUAAAUAGCCAUUACAGGUGAGUUUUUGUUGUGUGUUGGCUGUGGACUGUUGUGGCCGCAGGGAGUGGGCCACUUGCAACAAGUAUGUCCGGCUGGAGUUGCAGGUGAGUUAUUCUUGGUGGCAGCAUCCAGCGCCGCCGUCAUUUGGUGAAGAUCCGUUAUGUCGUCAGUGGCAGAUUUAUGCAAUUGUUUAAUGAGAUUGUUUGUGUUGCAGAUGCAAGUUGCCGAUCGUCAGGAAGAGGAGUUGCGCAGACAUAUCCCACGCAGCUGUCGUUGCAUUUUUAUUGAGCUGCUGGCGUUAUGGUGGUGGAGUGCUCUCUAGUGAGAAGUCGUCAGUGCGGAUUGAAGCUCGAUCUAUCACCGAGGAGAGCCAGGUGCGCCGCGUCUUGUGGCCGUAGCAUCAGGAUUGGCAGCUAGUGGCCGCCGGUUCGAGAUUUGUUGCAGAGAGCGGCCGCAACAAGAAUGGCAUGGAAAUGGAUGUAAAAAUAGAAUUUGGUACAUUGAGUGGAAUUUAAUUUAAGGUACUUAAGGAGGAAGCUAGUCUGGGGUACAUUUUGUAAGAGCUAGUUUGGAGGACCUUUGUUAUUGUGCUAUUGCAGCUGGAAUGCCGCGGUUUUGGAGUCAUCAAGUUGCAAUUAGAUAAGUAUUAUAUUUUAAAUAUAUAUUUCCCAGUAAUAGCUUGUGUUCCCUUGUUUCAAUAGUUAGAGUCUUUGAAGCUGGAGCUGCGUGCUUGACGUCAGCAGGAUGGAGCCGUUCACUAGCAUCUGCUACUUUGUCUGUCCGGUUUGUUAUUAUUUAUGUGUUCUUGAGUAAUCUUUGUAUCGCAUUCUUAUUUAUUUUCCUUUCAUUACAGGUUAGGAGAGAAUUCGUCGAAGAUACAGAACUGAGGAGAAAUAUGCAAUUUAAGGACAAGUUUUGCACCAUAUUGAUGUGGCAUCUGCGCCACGCAAAUUAUCCUUAUUUAUGCGUUGGCGUCAGGAGAUGGAGACGGCAUCAUAAAAUUGUCAACUUUUUGUAUUUAAAAUCGCGAAAGUUGGCGAUUUUGUUUUGCUUUUGCGGUGCCUGUCUCUUAUUGUCGGUUGCGUUGAAGGAUUUACGUGCGUGGCGUCAGGAGUAUGGAAUCGCAUAUCUGUAUCUGCUUGUUU